CAACUCCAUGGGCGCAGUGAGGCUUGAGCAGGGUGCUGUGUGUAGAGAAGCUGGGCCAUUGCCAGCACUAAGUGCUCACAAAUGUCAUCAUUACGACCGAUUGCUGACCUAGCAGGGACUUUGUGACCUCACGUGACAGACACGUUUCGCUGAGAGUAUUUUCCCACUGGCAAGUUUGGGGAGGAUGCAGAGGUUGGACACACACGGGCUCACACACGUACGGUGGCAAGUUCAGUUAUGUGUGUAUCUACAUUAUGCCUUCAUAACUACGAGGAGAUGUUCAUCAUAACAUUAACGAGGAGAUGUUCAUCAUAACAUUAUUUGAAAUAGCAAACGGUGAAACAAUUAUUGGAAACAAUCUAAAUAACCGCAAAGUUGGGCAUUCAUCAAAUAGUGUGUGGCACAUCCAAACAAUGGAAUACAAUGUAACCAUUAAAAAGAAUGAGGUUUUCCAGUAUUAACAUGGAAAAACAUCUGUGAUUUAUUGUUAGGUUUACAAAAGCAAGUUAAAGACUAUAGUAUGUAACACAUUAAAAAAAAAAAAUCAAACACCUUUUUAAGGAUCUGUAUCUACACUCCUACAUCCAGGUGAAAUCUGGGCCUGGAUGACACAAAACAAUUCCAACAGCAUUCCCUCCGGUGAGUGAAGUGUUAUGGUUUAAUAAAAAUCAUUAUCUACAACACCUAAGCUUUGUGUUUCUAACUUAAAGGGCAAUGGGAUUUCAAAACCAGACAAAGACCCCACUAAAGAGAACUACAGACCAAUCUUCCUGAUGAACAUGGAUGCAAAGAUUUUCAAGAUACUGCAAACCGAAUCCAACAAAAUGUUAAAAGAAUUAUUCAUCACAAUCAAGUGGUAUUUAUUCCUGGGCUGUGGAGUUAGGUCCAAUAUCUGCAAAUCAAUCAAUGCGAUACAUCACAUUAAUAAAAGAAAAGAAGCACAUGAUCCUCUCAAUAGAGGCAGAAACAGCAUUUGACAAAGUACAGCAUCAUUUCUUGCUAAAGACCCUGAAGAAAGGAGGUAUAGUAGGAACAUACCUCAAGAUCAUAAAGGCCAUAUAAGAAAGACCCACAACUAAUAUCAUCCUCAAUGGGGCAAAUCUGAGAGCUUUCCCCCUGAGGUUAGGAACACGACAGGGAUGUCCACUCUCACCACUGUUGUACAAUAUGGGGUUGGAAGUCCUAGCCUCAGCAAUCGGACAACAAAAAGAAGUAAAAGGCAUCCAAAUUGGCAAGGAAGAAGUCAAACUUUCAUUCUUCUCAGAUGACAUGGUACUCUUUCUACGAUUACGUGGAAAACCCAAAAGUUUCUAUCAAAAAACUUCAAGAACCGGGGCGCCUGGGUGGCUUGGUCGGUUGAGCGUCCGACUUCGGCUCAGGUCAUGAUCUCGCAGUCCUUAGGUUCGAACCCCGCAUCGGGCUCUGUGCUCAGAGCCUGGAGCCUGUUUCAGAUUCUGUGUCUCCCUCUCUCUCUGCCCCUCCCCUGUUCAUGCUCUGUCUCUCUCUGUCUCAAAAAUAAUUAAACGUUAAAAAACAAAAAACAAAAAACAAAAACCUUCAAGAACCAAUACAUGAAUUCAGCAAUCACAGGACAUAAAGUCAAUGGACAGAAAUCAGUUGCAUUCUUAUACACCAACAAUGAAGGAGCAGAAAGAGAAAUCAAGGAUUGAUCCCAUUUACAAUUGCACUGAAAACCAUAAAAUACCUAGGAAUAAACCCAACCGAAGAAAUAAAAGAUCUGUAUGCUGAACACUAUAGAAAGCUUAUGAAAGAAAUUGAAGAAGACACAAAGAAAUGGAAAAACUUUCCAUGCUGAUGGAUCAGAAGAACAAAUAUUGUUAAAAUGUCAACACUACCCCCAAGCAAUCUAUACAUUCCACACAAUCCCUAUCAAAAUAACGCCAGCGUUCUUCACAGAGCGAGAACAAAUAAUUCCAAACUUUGUAUGGAACCAGAAAAGACCCUGAAUAGCCAAAAUAAUGUUAAAAAAGAAAGCUGGAGGCAUCACAAUUCCAGAUUUCAAGCCGUAUUACAAAGCUGUAACCAUCAAGACCGUAUGGUACUGGCACAAAAACAGACACAUAGAUCAAUGGAACAGACACUUUUCCAAAGAAGAUACCCAGAUGGCUAACAGACACAUGAAAAGAUGCUCAACAUCACUCAUCAUCAGGGAAAUACAAAUCCAAAUUACAAUGAGAUACCAGCUCACACCUGUUCGAAUGGCUAAAAUUAACAACUCAAGAAACAACAGAUGUUGGUGAGGAUGUGGAGAAAGGGGAACAGUUUUGCAUUACUGGUGGGAAUGCAAACUGGUGCAGCCACUCUGAAAAACAGUAUGGAGGUUCCUCCAAAAAUUAAAAAUAAAGCUACUUUAUAACCCA